GAUCCUCAGGCUUUUGGGGCUCCUGCUGUUUCUACUCAUGUCAUUGUUGCUGUAUUUCCCAUGGGAUCCAGCUUUGAAUUACGGGUGCAAGAAAAUCUACUCCUCUGGAUGCCACUUCAGUGAAUCCUUUCUUAUGGGGAAAGGAGAGGAGUCAUUGUUCUUCUAAGCUUUGCUAUCUGUGACAGCCACUAAACAGAGUUGCAUUAUUUUUUUCAAGUCCACAAAAGCAAAACAAUGAUGUUAGACAUAGAAGUGAUGGUAAGGCCACUGACUCAUGACUACAGCAUGUAAUUUUUAGGCCUCAAGUCCUCUUUGCCUGCUGCAAUCUCCCCAUUUGGGCAGCUGGUGUAAUCUGAAUUCUUUCAGAGUCCUGUGUGAGUAAACCAGCAGUAGCAAAUCUCAUUCUCCUUUGUGAACUGCUAUAGACAAAGAAUACAAACUAAUAAUACUCUGUCUGCCCUUCAUAAUCAACCCAGAGGAGCAUCCUUUUCCCUCUCAUGGGUGUCCAUUUGUAGGAAGGUAGAAUGUCUUGUGAAGGAAUCAAUUUCCACUACAAACAUGACUUUGUCCAUAAGCAGAAGUCGCAUAUUUAUUUCAGUUGAUCCCUUCAGGAUCUCACUGAAAUUUGGAUUCAUUUUUUUGUCAGGAAUCAUGUCACCACAACUCAAGGGACAGUCUUGGUGUGUGAUUUUCUGCAAUUCUUUCAAUUACUUGUGCAAGGACACUGGUGAACUAUUUAUCAUGCUGUCCUUGAAGCUAGCUUCUCAAACUGGACAAUGUUUCCUGUAAUGUACCAUUCUGAUGAUUCACCAUAACCUUCUUUCCUGGAGAAAACAUGAGUGCACCCUUUGGGAAACAGAAUGAAGUCAUAGAAUUUUCCUGAAGAAUUUGUGAGAGCAAAGCUAAUCAAACUGCAAUCCUCAUAAGACAGAGCAGGUUUUUUGUUUUUUUUUUUUUUUUUUUUAAUUGCAAUAAUUUGUAUGUAAUAUUCAGAAAGAAAAACAAAACAAAACAAAACAAAACAGGGCUUUCUGAGGAAAAAAAAUGGGCAAUAACAUAAUUUAUUUUUAAUAAUAAAUUGGCUGCUACAGAGUUUUUUCA
rnacentral:lncRNA from 1 species